GUUGUAAACCUCUUUUAGUAGGGAAGAAGGGAGCUUUCGGUUCUUGACGGUACCUGCAGAAAAAGCACCGGCUAACUACGUGCCAGCAGCCGCGGUAAUACGUAGGGUGCAAGCGUUGUCCGGAAUUAUUGGGCGUAAAGAGCUCGUAGGCGGUUUGUCGCGUCUGCUGUGAAAUCCCGAGGCUCAACCUCGGGCUUGCAGUGGGUACGGGCAGACUAGAGUGCGGUAGGGGAGAUUGGAAUUCCUGGUGUAGCGGUGGAAUGCGCAGAUAUCAGGAGGAACACCGAUGGCGAAGGCAGAUCUCUGGGCCGUAACUGACGCUGAGGAGCGAAAGCAUGGGGAGCGAACAGGAUUAAAUACCCUGGUAGUCCAUGCCGUAAACGUUGGGCGCUAGAUGUAGGGACCUUUCCACGGUUUCUGUGUCGUAGCUAACGCAUUAAGCGCCCCGCCUGGGGAGUACGGCCGCAAGGCUAAAACUCAAAGGAAAUGACGGGGGGCCCGCACAAGCGGCGGAGCAACGCGGAUUAAAUUCGAUGCAACGCGAAGAACCUUACCAAGGCUUGACAUACACCGGAAACGGCCAGA
rnacentral:rRNA from 1 species